rnacentral:rRNA from 1 species
AGCGAACGCUGGCGGCAUGCCUAACACAUGCAAGUCGCACGGGGGGGCUUCGGCCUCCCAGUGGCGGACGGGUGAGGACCGCGUAGGGACCUGUCGAGGGGUGGGGGAUAACCGCGGGAAACUGCGGCUAAUACCGCAUGACGCCGCGGCGUGACAGCCGGGGCCAAAGGCGAAAGCCGCCCGCCGAGGGGCCUGCGUCCGAUUAGCUGGUUGGCGGGGUAGCGGCCCACCAAGGCGUCGAUCGGUAGCUGGUCUGGGAGGGUGAUCAGCCACACCGGGACUGAGACACGGGCCGGACUCCUACGGGAGGAAGCAGUGGAGAAUAUGAGACAAUGGCCGCAAGCCUGAUCCAGCAAUGCCGCGUGGGUGAAGAAGGUCUUCGGAUUGUAAAGCCCUUUCGGCGGGGACGAUGGUGACGGUACCCGCAGAAGAAGCCCCGGCUAACUUCGU